AUUGAACGCUGGCGGCAGGCCUAACACAUGCAAGUCGAGCGAGCGGCGGACGGGUGAGUAAUGUCUGGGAAACUGCCUGAUGGAGGGGGAUAACUACUGGAAACGGUAGCUAAUACCGCAUACCAUCAGAUGUGCACAGAUGGGAUUAGCUAGUAGGUGGGGUAAUGGCUCACCUAGGCGACGAUCCCUAGCUGGUCUGAGAGGAUGACCAGCCACAAGGGAACUGAGGCACGGUGCAGCAGCCUACGGGGGGCAGCAGUGGGGGAUAUUGCACAAUGGGCGCAAGCCUGAUGUAGCCCUGCCGCGUGUAGGAAGAAGGCCUUCGGGGUGUAAAGUACUUGCAGCGGGGAGGCGUUGCCCGCAGAAUAAGCACCGGCUAACUCCGGUCCAGCAGCCGCGGUAAUAC
rnacentral:rRNA from 1 species